rnacentral:ncRNA from 2 species
GAUAAUCUUCAGGGCAGGGUGUAAUUCCCUACCGGCGGUAUAGCCCGCGAGCCAAAUUUUGGUAUGAUUCGGUGAAAUUCCGAGGCCGACAGUAAAGUCUGGAUGGAAGAAGAGAGAA